rnacentral:misc_RNA from 1 species
UUUUCGGUUAAACUUCAAAAUGAGGUUAGCUAAGCAUUUUGUGUGUACUUAUUCCUUCUCCUUUAAUCAGAUUUAUUGCUUUAGGCAAACAACUUUUGUUUGACUGUUUCACCAGUUUGAUAGGCAUGAUAUGCCUUUUCUUUUAAUAAACUUCUUUUUAGAAGGCUAGAAUGAAGCUAAUAUUGUGCAAUUGUUGUAUUAAUGCAUGUUUCUUUUUAAUUAUCUUGGAACUAAAUUUUGUCAAUUUUCCUUUUUUCUUAUAUUUUCGUCAAUUCCUACUGCAUUGGUAAAUAUUUCUUUUGCAUUAUAUUCUAGGAUAUGUGAUAGAUGGAUACCAAUGAUAGGUUUUGGAUCAUGACGGGUUUGCACUUAUUCAAGGCAAUGUAGGGUAGAAGAUGAUAUCAAGCUUAACAUAAAAGUUUUACAGCUGUAAUAACAGUUGCAUCUACGCUUGGUGGCAUGAAGUAUCCAAAAUGCUGACUGAUUAAAAACUAAAAAUCUCCUUUUUGUCAGUGUAGAAUAUCCUUUUUGCUGAUAAGUUAAUUUCCUUGAGAAUUAUAAUAAAUUGAAUGACUUGAGACAAAAAUGCAUCUCAGUGAAGAUUUGUUACUCUCAUAUACAGUACUUUGAUUGUGGAUAAACAACUUGUGUCAUUUGUGGAAUUAAACUGAAUUUCAUGAGAUUGUACCUGAGAUAGCCUACUGGUACAUGAAACAAUUGUGAUUUUUCCAUGUUUUUUUACAAGGAAAGAUAUAGAUAGUGAUUUUGUAAUCCAUCUGAGACUGAGUUUGGCUGUCCACCCUGGCCCUACCACAUAGCCAAAGUCCCUCUUGAGGCAAUUACACUGUAAUAUAUAACUAAUGCUUGGUCAUUGAGCCAGCUAACCUUCCUAAAGUUGGGAGCACUUUUGAACUGAAUAUGUGGGCACUUGGUUCUUCCAUUUCUUUUUAUUUUAUGUAUUUCUCAGAUUGUCACUGGUGAAUAUUGCUUGUCAUUUGAUGAGGGCUUCAUUAGUAAACUAUUACUUAGUGUUAGUAGCUGAAAUGUUAGAUUAUGAUAAUUAUCUUCCACUAUUGAUACCCUUAUCCUUCCAGUUGGCAAUGAGCAAGAGAG